rnacentral:rRNA from 1 species
GACGAACGCUGGCGGCGUGCUUAACACAUGCAAGUCGAACGGAAAGGCUCCAGCUUGCUGGAGUACUCGAGUGGCGAACGGGUGAGUAACACGUGGGUAAUCUGCCCUGCACUCUGGGUAAGGCCGGGAAACUUGGGCUAAUACUGGAUAUGAACCUUCUCCUUUUUGGGGUUGGUGGGAAGUUUUUCGGUGUAGGAUGAGCCCGCGGCCUAUCAGCUUGUUGGUGGGGUGAUGGCUUACCAAGGCGACGACGGGUAGCCGGCCUGAGAGGGUGAUCGGCCACAUUGGGACUGAGAUACGGCCCAGACUCCUACGGGAGGCAGCAGUGGGGAAUAUUGCACAAUGGGCGGAAGCCUGAUGCAGCGACGCCGCGUGAGGGAUGACGGCCUUCGGGUUGUAAACCUCUUUCAGCAGGGACGAAGCGUAAGUGACGGUACCUGCAGAAGAAGCACCGGCUAACUAUGUG